AGUGAAUAGAAGAAGCUUUAGAACCAUUAGAGGCAGGAAGUGAAACACUGGAGGCUGACGAUGAGAAUACAGAACUAUUAUCUGGCCAAAUCAACUCCUCCGCUGUUCCCUGCAUUUCAGAUUGAGCAUUUUGUACUACAGUCUUUGUGAUCGAGAUGCAGUUAUCCAUCUUGCGACGCAUGUCAUGGGCUGGUUGAUCAAUUCUUCUGUAAUCAUCAUAAGCAAUGUUCAACUCAGAUAAUUCCCUUUGAAUACUGGUGAUGUGCUCUUGUAGGAUGUCACUAGGAUCCUGUUUUAAUACAGAUCUUUUAGCUACCUUAAUCAGAGCUUUCCAUCGUUCAUAUUUGCUGUCAAAGCGAAGCAAUAGCCCUUUGAUUUGCUCUUUCUGAAACUCUUUUCCUUUUUCUGUUAAUGUUCGGGCUCUUUCACUUCUACGAGGCUCUUCAGGUGGUGCUAUAUUUUGCCCGAUAUUUGAUUCACCUGUCUGUUCUAACUCAGUCUCUUCUUCCGGAGCAGCUACUGCACCCUGAGCUUCUUUACUUGUAUGUGACAUUUUGAUUAUUUAGACACAGAUAUACACAGGCAGCAUAGAAGAGCAAGCUGCAACAACAUUUGUGAAUACUGAAAGAAUGAGCUUAACUAAAUGAAGUCACUCUCAUUCAAAUUAGCCCAUACAUGUAGAAUAUUACAGAGUAAGUACACUUAACAGAGUUCUUAAAAGACACUGAACCAUAAAUACAAACUGAAUUUCUGUCAAAAUGUACAAAGUUUACUUCUGCCCUUUCAGAGCCAACUAUAAUUAUUCAGCUGAACAUGAAUUUACAUCUCUUACGUAAAUGCACAUUCAUAUACGUGAAACAGCGUGGCUGCCAGGCUAUACACAGUUCCUUUUAGUUUCCAACUCUUGUGUUACUUUUCAGACCAAAAACUUUAGAGUCUGGCUUAUAGACUUCUUCAUGAAAACCUUAUGAACCUGUGUGUCCUAAACAGUGGCUUAUCUGUGUUCCCGUCAUGAUGAGCUGUCGAAUUUGCGCUGAUAGGGCGAGUCUGGGCAGGUCCGAGUUUGACUAUCACUCCCUCCAGUUAAUACACGACACCACGGUUCUUCAUUCACAGAUGGAUUUAUUCUUCUGUCACACGGCCUCUUUCUUACUCAUGAUCCUGUUCGUCUCUAUACAUGCACACAGCUUUUAUGAAGAGUAUUCCAUAUAUCUGUUUUAGCUUGAAAGUAUAGAUUUCUGUCGUGCUGCACUUCAUGCAUUUUUAAAACGCCUGCAGGCAAAGUUCAGUUAGUCAUUUGAACCACAUACUUGUUCUUCAUGAAAGGAUUUACUAUUGCGCUGUUAUUCAUACAUAGAAAUAUUUCUUGCUCCAUUUGCAGCAGUUCAAGGGGUUUAAUAAAUUUAUCUCUGAUAUAACUGAACCUCUGAAAAUGAGCGACUAUAUAUCAAAAUUGCUGUACUUCCUAAUUAGUUAAUGCAAUAUGUUUUGUUAAACUCCUUUAAUUCAACAUGAAAGACUUCAGUCAAAUCUUGAUUGUUUUAUCUAAAACCUACUGUGCUGGUGCACAGUGGUAAUAUGACAAAAAUUGUGUCAUUGUCCAAAUACUUACCC
ensembl:lncRNA